ACAUCUCAGAUCUUUUGCUGAUGGAGUUGUGAACAUGCCAGAGGGUCGGCUGUCCUUUGUUUUAUGGCCACACCUGGAGGAGAUGCAACAGCGUUGCGUUUGGAGAUCUCCCAUCUUGGUGAUACUCCACGUACUCCGGAUGCAGUGUGCCUACUUGCUCCGGGGAACAACAUGACCUCAAGUCGCACUAUUGAGGAGGCUGCCAGGGCCUUUGGGACUCUCCUCAGUGUUGCAUUGCAACACUGGCAAAACAAGGUGUUUGUGGUGGAUUUCCCCAUACGACAUGUACAUGCAACACUGGAAUACCAGCUUCUGCUAAAGCAGGAAUAUCACCGAGUUGCAGCAAAGAUGGGAGUGCGGUACUUCUCAACAAACAAUGUUUUCCAGCCAUCGAAAAGGUAUGUUCCAAGAAGUUGUGGUUACAACAUCACUGUUCUUGGAGUACAUAGUACAUUCUUAUGCAUGUUUCUCUGGGACUUAAUUAUUAUUGUCAUUACUUUUUGUUUAAGGCAUCUGUGGUGUCAGGAUUUGAUACACGUAAGUGAUGACAAAGGUAUGCCUCUCCUUGCGGACUUCAUUUGGAACACUUCAUACAGCAUCCUGCACAUCCCUGUCAAUCCUGUGCCACUUAGAGUGCAUCCUACACUCAAACGAUGCUUCCACAAAAAUAAGAAGGAGCAUGGUACUUCAUCACAGCCACAGUGUGUUGCUCCAUCUCAGCGCUCAGCAACAUCCUAUCAGCCCUUUCCAGCUGUUAAAAUGAAGUAUGUCGACCAUGACCAAUGGACACACCUGCUGCCUACUGUUCCAGAUGUGAGGAUGCAGGUUCGGGAUCGGCGUCAUUGUAUACGUCAGCAUGCUGCCAAAGGACUGUUUGUUGACAUACAGCAACGAAUUCUCAGCGGGGAUAGGAUGGAACACAUCUUUGACACAUACGUCCUAUGUUACCCUUCGGCCUACCGCCAGAACGCCAAGCCUGUCCAUGACCCAGCACCCCAGUCUGUGGCUGAGAAGAAAUCCCUGCACAUCAAAAAGCUAAGUGGUGCUGGUUCAGGUCAUGUGGGUCAUAGGCCUUUGGUAGUAGUUGACAGGGUCAAAGAAGUUGUAGAACAGGAAGAUGUUAGGGAUAAGGUAGUAAGGAGGAGAAAGAUGGGAAACAUACACACCAGUGUUACACAGACAGAACAGAAGCAGGAGUUGCCUACUGAGAGAGGACUGAAACAGGAGUUGGCUUGUCAAAUAGUACAGAAACAGAAGUUUGCUAGGGAUGAAGGAAGUGUUGUUGGUCAGGGGGAAGGGGGUCACAUGCCUUCAGAAGUAGGCAAAGGGCUUCAGGAUACACAACACAUAAAUGGGGUAUAUAGGUGGGUGAUGGUAAGUAAUUUCUGUGUUCCCUUCCAGCGCACUUUUGAAUGUCCCAGUAAGUUUAGUAUUGCAGAACUGUGUGAUGACAACACAUUGCCAAUAACUUGUAAGCCAAAUGGGGUGAAAUCAUUGCCAAGUAAGCCACCAAAUACACUGGACAACAAAGGGGGGAUGCCUUCUGUGCAUGACACAAGUGGGGGAGAUUCAGACCAUAACAAGACAGUGUGCUUACAGACAGUUGCUCAUGGUGAUAUUGAAAACAAACAAAAAGAAAUAAACAGCAGACCAGCUGCAGUACUUGCCAUAAAAAAGGCCAUGAACCACAUAAGAGGAGGUAUAGGUGAAGGCAACUCAAUGUUUGAGACGGCAAUUAGCAUAGCAGAGCAGCAUGGUGUCCAACUUAGAAGUGGCAAUCCAAACAAGCCCAAUGGUAAUUGCUUGUAUGAAUCCAUUAUUGAUAACAUAAAUGCAAGACAAUGUUUUGCAGAACAUUUGCCAGAAAGGCCUGAGCACUAUAGAAAGGUCUGGAAUACUGUAGGUGAACAGAAAAUUAAGGCAUCUCCAUACUAUCCAAACAUAUAUACAGAACAGCAGUGGAGAGAAGCAUGGCAAACUUUGCAAACAACUAACCAAUAUGACCUUGACUAUUUUGGUGAUAUGGCUAUCCUUAGUUGUGCUCAUACUACUAAGAAAGAUAUCCUUGUUUUCAACACACCUUGGAAAACAACAACUGCUCAACCUCAUAGUCCAAUAUAUGUAAUAUCUGCAGAUGCAAUAGAUCCAGCAAAUGCAAGAGAUACUGAUGUUCCAUUGGUGUUGGCAUACAAUGGCCAUCAUUUUGAAAGCCUCAUUCCUGUUUCUAAUGUUGAUGUUAACAAAACAAUUGUUUUGGUGGAUGCAUAUAAGACUGGCACGUAUACGACUCCUAGGUCUUUAGCACAAAUGUUUCAGCUCAUUGGAAAUGAUUUACACAACACAGAAACAGAUUCUCCCACAACAAAUAAAACCAUAUGUACACAGGCCACAGAAAACCAGAAAAGAACAAAGCUUGCAGCUACAACCAGUAAUGUGCAGAUUCAAAAUUAUGCUCCAAAAUCCCACAAUUUAGAUGAAGGCAAUAAUACCAGCGAUACCGUAGCCAUAACUUUGCCAGAUGUAUGCAACAGCUGUCAAAAGCCAUUUCAAACGCUGCUGGUACAUUUGCGCAGGUCAAAACGAUGUCAAUUACAUUACAACUUCCAAUCUUUGCAUCAAGAAGUAAUUGUGAAACACGCAGACCAAAAACCUCUAUGGCAAGCUGCCAAACGUCAAAAACUACAAAAACAUAAGCAAACUGAGGUCAAUGUAGGCCUAAACCAUGUUGAACAACAAGCUCUACCAUGUCAAAAAGAGAAAGAGGCCACUCCAAUUCAAACCAGUGCAAUAAAGAUGAAAGUUACAAGGAAGAGACAGUUGCAGAGUAAUCCUGUAGAUGUCACAGGAAAAAAUGUUUCACCGUGUAAUGUAAAUAAUAAUAACCCAGAACAAAUGAAACAACAUGUAAGCACGCCAAAGAAAGCCACAAAAGAACAGAUCUUGCAGCUAUCACCAGUAAUCUCCAGAUUCAAAAUAUAGGUCCUAAAUCCCACAAUCUACAUGAAGCCAGUAAUACCACUGAUACCAUAACAAUGACUUCCCUAGAUGUAUGCAAGGGCUGUCAAAAGCUACUUCAAAGGCUGAUGGUACAUAAAUGGACUGCAUUUAUACAUUUGAGCAGGUCAAAACAAUGUCAAUUACAUUACAACAUGUCUAAGAGCAACCCAACAAUGCCAAAUCCAAGUGCAGAUGAAGUUGUUUUUGUCAAUGAAAUGGAAAGCCCAUGUCUCACAUUCUCCCCUUUCACUAUGCAGCAAAAAAAAUCA